CAGUAGCCACGGUAAUACAGAGGGUGCGAGCGUUAAUCGGAUUUACUGGGCGUAAAGCGUGCGUAGGCGGCUUCUUAAGUCGGAUGUGAAAUCCCUGAGCUUAACUUAGGAAUUGCAUUCGAUACUGGGAAGCUAGAGUAUGGGAGAGGAUGGUAGAAUUCCAGGUGUAGCGGUGAAAUGCGUAGAGAUCUGGAGGAAUACCGAUGGCGAAGGCAGCCAUCUGGCCUAAUACUGACGCUGAGGUACGAAAGCAUGGGGAGCAAACAGGAUUAGAUACCCCAGUAGUCCCUGUCUCUUAUAU
rnacentral:rRNA from 1 species